UCAAGUUUGUAUUGCUUACUGGUAAAAUUAUUCAUUUUUGUUGAAACCUCCAAUUCCUGGCUGAACCAUGCUGUGAUAAAUAAGGAAGGCUGUAUUGGGUUCAUCAUGCAAAGGGAUGGAGGCUGCAACAAAAGGCUGAGAAGCAUCAGUGAAAAUAAAUGUUGGGAAGUAAACUUUCCAGUGUAUUUUGGCCCUGCCCAGCACUUCCAAGAGUUUCACCUCAUUAUACCCACUGGCAUAAUGUCACUGGCCUUUGAGUAUUGGAGCUGAUACAGCCUCUGCCACCCUGCCCUUCCUGCUUGAAGUUAUUCAGAGCCAAGCCUUCACAUGUGGCCUUCAGCAAGAAGUUAACAAAAAAAGGAAGAAAGCCUGUUAAAACACACCAAUGCACCCUGCUUCUUGUAUGAUCAGUCAUUUGGUCUGUGUUGCAGGCAUGCUGUUUGCACUAUCAGUGAAAUGACAAAAACUGUGCCUUCCUGUAUGUUCCUUGCUGGCAAAAAUUUCCAAGAUGAUCUGUACAGUUUGUGAACAACACCUCUGCUAAAGGAAAGAGAGGCUGAAGCGACUAGAGAACAGGAUGGAGUGGAUUUCAGUGGGCUGGGGAGUGGUGCCAUGUUCCUUGGGAGAAAGAACUGCUGCAGGUUGCCCGUAGAAAGACCAACAUCCCAAAGACAAGAAUUCUGCUGAUGUAAAUGGAGAAGGGCAGGUGUCCUGUCUUCUUCAGUCAACUGAUCGCAGUCAUGGUAACCUGAACACACAAGUCCCUUCAGAGGUUCCCUCAGAAAACAUACCACAUCUUUGUUUCAU